GAUGAACGCUGGCGGCGUGCUUAACACAUGCAAGUCGAACGGAAAGGCCCAAGCUUGCUUGGGUACUCGAGUGGCGAACGGGUGAGUAACACGUGGGUGAUCUGCCCUGCACUUCGGGAUAAGCCUGGGAAACUGGGUCUAAUACUGGAUAGGACCACUUCUUGGAUGUUGUGGUGGAAAGUUUUUUCGGUGUGGGAUGAGCUCGCGGCCUAUCAGCUUGUUGGUGGGGUAAUGGCCUACCAAGGCGUCGACGGGUAGCCGGCCUGAGAGGGUGUACGGCCACAUUGGGACUGAGAUAAGGCCCAGACUCCUACGGGAGGCAGCAGUGGGGAAUAUUGCACAAUGGGCGCAAGCCUGAUGCAGCGACGCCGCGUGGGGGAGGACGGCCUUCGGGUUGUAAACGCCUUUCGCUAGGGACGAAGCGUUUUGUGACGGUACCUGGAGAAGAAGCACCGGCUAACUACGUG
rnacentral:rRNA from 1 species